rnacentral:rRNA from 1 species
GGCUGUCGUCAGCUCGUGUCGUGAGAUGUUCGGUUAAGUCCGCUAACGAGCGCAACCCUCGCUGUGUGUUACAAGUGUCACACGGAACUGCCGGUCAUAAACCGGAGGAAGGUGGGGAUGACGUCAAGUCAGCAUGGCCUUUAUAUCCUGGGCUACACACACGCUACAAUGGGAAGGGACAAUAGGUUGCGAAGCCGCGAGGUGGAGCCAAUCCAGCAAAACUUCCCUCAGUUCAGAUUGCAGGCUGCAACUCGCCUGCAUGAAGUUGGAGUUGCUAGUAAACGCAGGUCAGCCAUACUGCGUUGAAUACGUUCCCGGGGCUU